UCUCUGGCUCCCGGAGAAGGGACCAUCAACAACGGCGGACAUGCAAAUCUUUCACAGUGGUGGACCAACGAAGCCCCAUAUCCUCGGUCAGCUUACCUAGUCAUUAUUUUGUUACUGGCCUGAGGUGCCUUUACUUUGGCGUCGCUCUAUCGCGUUUUUCUUGCUGAAAACGGCAGGAAAAACUCCGUUAGAAUGUAGCUACUGUCCCGCAUUUCGCCAACCAGGGAGCAAGAGCUGAUGUAAAAGGUCAGAUAAAAGACUCAUUGGUUAUAUAGGAUAUAAACUUUAAUAGAGGCGGUUCAACAGGUAAGACAGUCAUUAUUUAUAACUUUUACACAGAAACACGUAUUAAAAAUAUUCUAAAUAUCCUUUUAAGAGAAAACAGUGUUACUCCAUUGCGUUAAGUCGAGUGAAUGUGUGGUAGAUGAGAGAGAAAGUCCGGCGUUUCCCAUUUUAAACUUAACCGGAGGGUCUAGGAGACUCAUCCAACGGAAUUUUGAAAGGAUCUUUCACUGCCCUGACAUCAAUGAGCACAGCGUGAUUACAUUCCUUUCACACCAUACCUUCUUUUUCUUUUUUUUAUCUCUCUCUCAUUCCCUUAUACUCAGCAUUUGCCAGUCGCAAACAGAACAGACAACUUUGGUGCAUUUUUGUGGAUUUUCUGAGACCUCUAAUCAAACUCUCAAACAAAUGAUCUCAUCGUGUAAUGGGAUGGAGAGACGCAAGCAACAACAAAACAAACUUUUCUGUACCGCUGGAGCAAUACCCAAACAUUUACACCCCGGCGGAACACUUUAAAUAUUUACCGAUCUUAGUAAAACAGUCGGGGAUUAUCUUGUAUUGUGAUAGCGCCGAGAAAAGACUCAAACUUUCCAUAUUCUUCGACUGAUACAAGAGGGGAGAUCAGAUUGAAAUCUCUUUGUACAUAAACUACCCAUUGACUCACUGUCUUCCUGUCGGAAGCUGCAAUUAGCUCCCCGAGACAAAGUUCUCAGACAUUUUAAAUGGCUGAAAAUAAAUAAAUGUGGCUAUUGCUGUUAGGCUGAAGGCCCUGUUUCAAUUACAGCCUAGGCUGUGGUCUGUGUCUCUCACUGAGCUGUUGGCUCCUCCGAGCCUUGCUUCUAUGGAGACGUUUUAAUUGCUGUGUUUUAUUUGAGAGAGAAACAGUGAGGGGAAAUGUUCUGUAUUCAUCUUGGCCUCCCACUACGCUUCAGUCAUGACGUCCUGGGGUGAUCUGUCUCUUUUGCGCAGGACAGCGUACAGUAAAGCUCAGAGCUGCCCAGACAAUGCUUUCAUUCUUCCCAUCGAGAAUGGAGAUUUUCUUCCUCGGGACUGAAGUUUUUUUGUUUUCUCCCAUUGAGCAGAUUGAUUUAUGCGACAUAACUUUUUACGACUCAAAUUCCAUCACCUUCGAGCGGUAAACUGAAAUAGGGAUUUGCUAAAAAUCACAAGACUUUCAAUAAAAACAGCAUUUGACAAACUCUGCUCUGGAUAUUCAUCGUUAGAUUAGCGGUUGGCAUCCGUUGGGCCUUAUGUAACUGACUCCUGAGUCGAUUCCCGCUUUUUCCACAUCCAGCUUAUGGCAGCCACGUCGACGAUCAAAAGGAGUGCUGCAGUCUUUCUGCUUCUCUCCUCACCCCUAAGGUGUGUCUUCAGCAGCGAUGGUUGCACCUUUCACCCCUCCCAUUUUCUCCAGAGGUUCCACGCAGACAGAUGGUUUGAGUUGGAGGCCUGCCGCCACCUGCUAAUAUCAUACAUGCUUUUAAUUUAUCUCACAUCUUAAUGGAUGGCAGAGUAGACGGGCAGCUUUGCACGCUGCUCAGCCAAUCCUCUCACUCUGUUUAUUGCCUUAUUUAUUUGACUGGUUCUAUGGAACAAAGCAGUCGGUCCCUACGAAUGAGGCGGAGGAGCCAGGACGGUUGGAACUCCUUUAUCACCGCUCAUGAAUGUGACUCUUCAGACUGCAUCCUCGAUCCUCAUACAUCUCAAACAUAGAUUAUCUGAUAUUUUCAUCUCUUUAGACCUUUAAAGGAGACCUAGAAUGUAAACCAACAUUUUCCUUGUUGUUGUUGAAUAAAGACAGCUUGGGUGGUCAAAAGUAGCAUGCCAAAAAGUCUAAGCCGUGUGUGACCUAGGUUUUGUUCACAAAAUUGAACACAGAACAUGUGCCGAGGUACAAAAAUAUCAAAAUAUUUCUACGAGGUGCGAAUAUUAAUUGUUUUUAAAGUCUGUUUGUUAAAAGGUCAGUAACACAUGCAAGUGCACUUGUAAUCAGUAUUUUGGCAGUUAAUUGCAACUUACUUUACAUUUAAUAUUUCAGCCUAAAAUCAUAAUUACAUCUCC